CCUGCUUCUAGAGGCAUUGCAGGUGUGGCUGCCAUGUCGCAUGAGCGUCAGUAGGUGGCAGAGAAGACAGAGGCUAUGUCUAUGCUCAGUGUUCUGCUCUGAUCUGAAUGAUUACUAGCCGAACACG